GUGAUCUCAGAAGCGUCUCCGAUCUUCAGCAGACCAGUUUCCCUUGGGACAAUCAGAACUCGGCGAGAGCCCCACUUACACGGCACCUUGUUUGCAGUUAGCGCCUGUGUCAGAGGUCUCAGGGACCAUCUCCAGUCCAGCGUGGCCUUGGAUAAGUCCGGGAAAAAGGUAAGAGUAUGUUCCUCGAGGGGUGACUAAGUGCUGACAGCCACCAUAAAGGCUGUUCUGUCUGUGCCUAGUUGGAAGCGAAGGAUUACAUCUCUGCUUCUUCUCUGUGCUUCAGUGGAAGGUCCAGCAACACGGUACCAACCAUCCAAGUUGAUAGAUUUUGUUUGUUUAGCUGGG